GAUGAACGCUGGCGGCGUGCCUAAUACAUGCAAGUCGAGCGAACGGACGAGAAGCUUGCUUCUCUGAUGUUAGCGGCGAACGGGUGAGUAACACGUGGGUAACCUACCUAUAAGACUGGGAUAACUUCGGGAAACCGGAGCUAAUACCGGAUAAUAUUUUUAACCACAUGGUUCAAAAGUGAAAGACGGUCUUGCUGUCACUUAUAGAUGUAUCCGCGCUGCAUUAGCUAGUUGGUAAGGUAACGGCUUACCAAGGCAACGAUGAAUAGCCGACCUGAGAGGGUGAUCGGCCACACGGGAACUGAGACACGGUCCAGACUCCUACGGGAGGCAGAAGUAGGGAAUCUUCCGCAAUGGGCGAAAGCCUGACGGAGCAACGCCGCGUGAGUGAUGAAGGUCUUCGGAUCGUAAAACUCUGUUAUUAGGGAAGAACAUAUGUGUAAGUAACUGUGCACAUCUUGACGGUACCUAAUCAGAAAGCCACGGCUAACUACGUG
rnacentral:rRNA from 1 species